rnacentral:misc_RNA from 1 species
AACGCAACUUGCGCCCUUCUUGGGCAUGUCUGUUUGAGUACCAUAUUCUUCUUGUCUUCUAUGAAAGGGAGGCGACUUGUCUGGUCAAUUUGUUUAUAUGGCUAGAUUAAAGGCAGUUUCUUUAAUGCCUUGUUGUGUGGGGGCAGGCGGUGGUAAGCCGAGCUAGAGAUCUGCUUGGUCUUUUUUUUAUCGGUAAACCCUUCCUGUAAUCCCCUUCGAUAAUCUUUGGUCUCAAAUCAGGCAAGACUACCCGCUGAACUUAA